rnacentral:rRNA from 1 species
UACGAAGGGGGCGAGCGUUGCUCGGAAUGACUGGGCGUAAAGGGUGCGUAGGCGGCUGUUACCGUCAGAUGUGAAAUCCCCGGGCUCAACCUGGGCACUGCAGUUGAAACUGGCAAGCUAGAGUAGGGUAGAGGGGUGUGGAAUUCCAGGUGUAGCGGUGAAAUGCGUAGAGUAUCAGGAGGAACACCGGUGGCGAAGGCGGGACUCUGGGCCGAUACUGACGCUGAGGAGCGAAAGCGUGGGGAGCAAACAGG